UACGGGGGGAGCAAGCGUUGUUCGGAUUUACUGGGCGUAAAGGGCGCGUAGGCGGCGCAACAAGUCACUUGUGAAAUCUCCGGGCUUAACCCGGAGCGGUCAAGUGAUACUGUCGUGCUAGAGUGCGGAAGGGGCUACUGGAAUUCUCGGUGUAGCGGUGAAAAUGCGUAGAUAUCGAGAGGGAACACCUGCGGCGAAGGCGGGUAGCUGGGGCCGACACUGACGCUGAUGCGCGAAAAGCCCAGGGGGAGCGAACGGG
rnacentral:rRNA from 1 species